rnacentral:lncRNA from 1 species
CACAGCCCACAAUUUGUCCCCGGUCACCGGUGUCUCACCCAACAUAAUACCGAAAUGGCCGUCCGUCUGGCUGCGCCUCCUCAGGCUCGACGUACGGCUCCACCACCGCACCCAUACAGCACAGCAUGUCACAGAAAGUGGAACGGUAUGCUAGCCAGGGUCACACGACCCUAGGUAGAAUUCAAAUAUUUUUUGUUGUUUUAUCAUACAUUAGUCGCAGUAUAGCUGAAAAUCAGAAUAUUACAUAGUAUGUGUUAUGAUAUAGAGUGAAGUGCACCAGCGGUCCCUAAACUUGUGUGCAUGUGUCAUCUAUGUCUCUGAACUCUCAAAAUGUAUUUUUGGGUCUCUGAACUUGUCCGGGGGUGUCAUAUAGGUCCAAACGGGCUCCGACUCGCUCCAUCCGCUGACGUGGCAUGUCACGGUGGCGCUUACAUGUUGGUGGUGCCAUAUGGGUCCCACAUGUCAUUAUCUCUCUCCUCCUUAUUCUGACGUAUGGAGCGGGUCGAAGCCCGUUUGGACCUAUAUGACACCCCCAGACAAGUUCGGGGACCCAAAAAUGCAUUUUGAGAGUUCAGAGACCUAGAUGACACAUGCACACAAGUUUAGAGAACGCUGGUGCACUUCACUCUAUGAUAUAUAUGACCCUCGGGUAAUUUUUGCUAUGGGCUCCCUACUGGUAGCUCGCAUAACAGACAAUGUGUGACCCAGGGGGCACAGGCAAAUCGGUGAUGACCUGAUCAUAACCAAGGAGGUACAUGACCAGGAACAUGCACCAGGGGUGCCACGCUUGUGUAAUGGACAUUUGGCUCGUGUGUGCAAGGGAGAUUUGAAUUGCAUUAUUAUUUGCAACAAGCUAGAAGAACACUUCUUGCCAAGCCCUGAAGAUGUCGAAACCGUACAUGCGACGCUGCCU